rnacentral:sRNA from 1 species
AUGCUCUGCAGAGAAAUCAAAGAUGGCGGGUGUAUCCGCUGUUCGCUGGUUGGGGCUCCGCAGCAGGCUUGGCCAGCCGCUGACGGGUCGGCGGGCGGGUCUGUGUAAACAGGCACGCAGCUGCAGAUUUUAUUCUGGUAGUGCAACCCUCUCAAAGGUUGAAGGAACUGAUAUAACAGGGAUUGAAGAAGUAGUAAUUCCAAAAAAGAAAACUUGGGAUAAAGUAGCCGUUCUUCAGGCACUUGCGUCCACAGUAAACAGGGCUGCAGUGCAAUGGCACGAUCUCGGCUCACCGCAACCUCCGCCUCCUGGGUUCAAGCAAUUCUUCUGCCUCAGCCUCCUGAGUAGCUGGGAUUACAGGCAUGUGCCACCACGCCCAACUAAUUUUGUAUUUUUAGUAGAGACGGGGUUUCUCCAUGUUGGUCAGGCUGGUCUCGGAACUCCUGACCUCAGGUGAUCCGCCCGCCUUGGCCUCCCAAAAUGCUGGGAUUACAGGUGUGUGGCACCGCGCCAAACUUUUUUUUUUUUUUAAUUAAUUAAUUUAUUUUUUGAGACAGAGUCUUGCUGUGUC